rnacentral:lncRNA from 1 species
ACAUAGAGUAUAGUGAAAGGCAGAAUAGAAAAGGAGAAUCAUAUGAAGGGGAAAAGGUUAAACUAUUUUACAUGUGACUUUACUUGUCACAAUUUCUAUUAUAUUUAAGGGGCAUUUGAGAUGAAAAUUUCUCUGACCAAAUUACUUAGUCAUUGAUCCUCUCUUCUCACAUCUGGGGCUAUUCUAUUAAAGGACUGAAGGUUUAUUAAAGUGAUUGGAACACUUGGCUUCUUGCUGAGCACAGUCUGUAUAGCAGAGUCAAACUGCCUUUAUUAUAUAUGAUCCAUUCUGGGUUUGAACCAGAGGCCUUUAAAAUAGAAGGGAAGAUAAAUUAGUGUGUUGUUUCAGCCAAUUCUGACAAGUUUCUUUGAUUUCAGGUUUGCUUUAAUUAUUGGAAUUUCAGUGGCUGUGGCUUUUUAUGGCAUGUUAAAAAGAGGAGUGAGUUACAUCCAAUCCUUGAGUAAAUUGACAUGGAAGACCAUCAUUUUAUUGGUGAUGGGGGUCGUCUUCUACAACUAUGGAGCCAGAGAUGGGCCAUUAUCAUGGAGCUGAGCAAGGAUCCCAGGAGUUUUGCAGGGACUUGGGUUCACCAGCUUCAUUGUGGCUUUGAUGCAGACCUGCUUCAGUAUAAAGGAUAUCCAGAAAUAUCAGAUUGGUUACUGGUGGGCUCCAGCCAGAGAUAUUGUCCUGUACUGGCCAGAAUGGAUAAUCAUUGCUGUUCUGGAGACAAUGUGGCUCUGCCUGACAUUCCUGCUUCUGGUAUCUGGAUGCCCCAAAGGUUAUUUGGAUCCUGGAGGGACAUGAGAUGAUGGAAAAUACCCCAUCUGCACAGGUGGCACAACAGUAUACAUUGAUAAGUGCCUGCUUGGAGAAGACCAUAUCUACCACUACCCUGCGUAUAAGAUAAUCAAUAUUGAAGGAUCUGUCUAGUUGAAACCCUUGCAAUAUGUGAAUCAUUUUGCCUAUAGCUUUGAGAUGAUUGUAUUGCUGGUCUCGUCGUCUAAUAAAUCUUUCUCUUUUGUCA